CAAAAAACCAUCUAUCCUGUCGUUCCUCCGAAACGCUUCGACAUCUACAAGGACAUCUGAUUUCCCCCCCCCCUACUCAUGAUGCAUCUUUGUAUGCCAGCCUGGUAAAAUUCAUCACCAACCCCUUUAAAAUUCCUGGUUAUUCUCGACAUGCAACUCCUGAUCGAUGAGGUCAGAAGUGAGAAAGUACACAUUGAAAAUUCUUAUAAAGUAUAUUCAAAAGAUGUAUCUACAAAUUGACACUUUUAAUCGAUCGAAGCGUGUUACGGAGUCCUCCGCUAGGCUAAACCUCGAAAAGGCAUUUGACUUUUCUUAUGUCUCGGAGCGGAGCCGAUUCGAGGCAACCCUCCUGUAUUGUACGAAGAAAAGCGGUAUACACUGCCGUGUCGGCGGAUCAAGGUAUAUCAAAACAAGCGGUGAUCACGUUCUCACGAGGUGAUCUCUAGUCCGGAUACAGUGAAGCGCGAACACAUGUGUUAAAACAUAAACAAUACUUUCAGCGAGCUAUAUAUGGGCAAUUAUAAAGUUAUUGGUUCUAACACCAAUAACCGCAUGUAUCGGUGUGAGUAAUCGAGGAAAGUCGAGUCGUCCGCGAUAUACGAUAUAUAUAGCGUAAAACCUUCGAUGUAGAAGAUUUUAGGAUCGACACGCUCGCGAUAGACGUAAUCGGAACGCCGAAGUUGCUCCGAAGAAAUCCCGCUGGCGCAGAUUGAGCGUUUACAUAGCCGUGUAACAACAAAUAAAGCGUGCGACACCUUGAGAAUACUUCGCGUUUCGCAUUUGGUCCUUUCGACCGUCCGUGAUCAAUCCUUUCUCACUUCGAGUAUUUCAGUUAUCCCUUGAAUCCUUAACAAAGCGGAACUGCAAGAUCCGAAAGUCCUUUAUUGAUUGUUAGGACGAAAGGAAACUAUUGUUGGAACUAUUUUACAGAGAUUUUCAAGAUGGUCGCGACAAAGAAAGCCUGAAAUUUCACACGAGGCGACAGCGAUCUUUCGACAGCGGGAACGAAAUCUACAAUGAAAUCUACGUCCGACGUUCUCUUACCAGCGUCGUGUAGAAGAUGCACACCGCGCAGACCAGCAGGGCGAUCGUGUAGAGGUCGAUCCCGGUAGCCUGAUUGAAGGCUAGCGCCGUUUUUUGGCCGUAGAAUCACGUGGUGAAUUCGUUGUUGCCAAGGCUUUCCUAAGACUGGAAACUUUUGGACCGUAUCACGUAGCUUCGAUCGUGAUACCUCAUAGGACGACGUAAUUCGUAGCCCAUAGAAGACCGGCAAGUAAACGACCACCAUCGUCACGGAAACGAAGGUGUCCGCAAUCACGACGGACCACAAUUGCGUGCCGUACACGUACAUUUCGGCCGGCAAUCCCAGCAUCGCUAUGCC